UAGGUGUGGUCUUGGCUCUUCACCAAAGUGCAGAAAUUUUGCUGAUUUGGUGCUUGCUGGGACAAAAUACAUGCAGUUUUGGAAGGACAGAGUUCUGUGCAAGGAAAAAAACAAGCUAGGAAAGAGAAGAUUUUCGUCUGACUGCUUUAUUAACAUGGGUCUGAAACCAUUCCUGAACAAAAAGCAAGCAGGCCAUGCCACAACUAAGACCAGCAUACUGAGUUUCCUGGGGUGGAAAAAUCAUGGACAAAUCAGGUGUUGAAAUGAAAGCUGAAUCCGUACCUUAACUGAAACCUUUGCAAAUAAUACAACGAACACAAAGGAGAGAACAAUUUAGAUUUUUGUAAAGAUUUUUUGUACUUAUUUUUUGUGUGGUAUAUUUGAUUUCUCAGAUUUUUUUUUCUUUUUACUCCUGAAAAACAUGGUUGUACUUGCCUAAACAAACUAGUUAGACUUGAGAAAAUAUUCAGAGUAAAAUUUAAAUUUAGUUGAAACUUGCUUGGCUUCAGGUUUCUUUACAGUCUCUAAGCUCAGCCCUGGUUCACUGGGAGGUUUGUGAAAGACCAUGAACUUUUACAGGGAACAUGGAUUGAUUUAUGAGUCUGCCUGAAAAUCCAUGUGAAAUUUGCCUUUCGCAUGACCACGAUGCAAAAAUAUCUUCUUUCCCCCUCAACCCCUUCCUGCGGUACUGGAUAAACUCUGAUGUGUUUUAUCUCCUGUUUCUGCACUGAGUCUUCCCAGCACAGGCAACAUCUUGCUCGUUUCUUUAUAAA
rnacentral:lncRNA from 1 species